GUGAAUAUGAUUCCUUCCCUUUAAUUGCCCAGGCAACACAUGCGAUCCCAGGAGCUGCAAGUACAGCAUGCAACAGCCACACAAUAAAUAACAAUAGAUCCCUCCGCCCUGGCCGGGACUGGCUCUCUGGCUCUCUGGCUGGAUGGCUGGGGCUGUCCAGGCGCUAUCCUGGGCGCUCUCUGAUGGUGGAGGCGCACACAGCCUGCUCUCCCAGGGGCCACACACACUGGGGCUGUCUCUCAGCUCCGACCAGCUCACAGCUAUUUUUCCCCUUCCUCUUCCCUUCCCUGGCACUGGCUUUUCUCUUAUCUCCCUCUAUGGGAUCAGUCUUUCCCCCCUCCCUCCCUCCUCUUUUUGGCUUCUCUUUUUUUUUCCUGUUCGGACUAUUUUUCUUUAUUCUCUCUCUCUCUCUCUCCCAGCUCUCUCUCUCUCUCUUCUUCUUCACUUUGCUUAGUUGGUGCCCACGCUGGACUGGCGGAUUUAGAUGUUGUUGUUUUUUGCUGUGCUGAGUCCCUGACGUCACAUCCACCUGCUGGGUAAACAACAAGACAGAACAAGAGCAUGCAUGCAGGAUUUAUUGAAGAAAAAAAAAAGUAAUAUAAUAAAAGGGGGUGGUAGGAGGGAGGCUGUUUUUUUAGGGCACACUAAUUGUUUAGGUGGGGAGUUGUUUAGAUGGGGAGUUGUUGAGACUUCUGGGAUGAGUGGUACUGAUGAAGGGGUUAUAUUGGGUGGGGGUACUUGGGGCAAUGCAUGGGUGUGAUGACAAGUAAAAAAUGGUAAAUGGGUUGUUUUGGGUGGGAGUGUGUGUGUAAGAAACACUUACUGGGAAACUGGAGGGGGGCAGCUGCUGCAGAAUGUCUUGAGAGCAGAGCUGUCCAUCAGACAUUCCUUUUGUAGAAUUUUAGAACAGUGGUGAUUGACAGUUUUUUUUUGUCAGGAUAAGAAGUUCUGGAGCAGUUCUGUUAAUGUUAGUCUUUUGCCUGCCUUGGUCGUGUCCACGUUUUUAUUAUGAUGCUUUGUGUUUAACUUCUUCAAGUUUAUUAUUCAUAUGUUAUUUUUGUGCUUAAGUAUUUUGCAACUCUAUUGACACUGUAUUUUGUAAUGUGUCACAAGAUGCACUAGACCUUAAAGUGUUAACAAGAGAUCGUUGUUGAAUGAUGGAGGGUUUAAAAAUAUAUCUCGUUUUUAAAGAGAACUCUCAAAUACCCUUAUUUGCUCUAAGACAGUGUAUAGUGGGGUUUGUGUGCAGGAAAAGGGACAAAGGGGGAGAACUCCACUUUUAUGUCACUAGUAAAAGCAGAGGAGAGUUCGUGAGGUGAAAGUUCAUACACAGGACAAAGCCCCCUCUCCUCCACCCCCCCUUAACCCCAAAGGCAUCUAGAGCCCCAGGGAAUCCCCAUCUUGUGUCCCUGAUCUGGCAGGGGGACCCCCCAGUGUACAUGGGUGACCCUCUCCAGUACAGAUAUUUUAUCACCUAAUAAAUCAGUCCCAUUUAGAUUAACAGCAUGCAAUACCAGACUAUACAAUAUAAAUCCAUAGUCCUUGCUGUGAACUAUAGUUAUAUGUAUGUACAAUGAAUACUUAUAUAUUCAAUAUUAUUGUUAUAUAUAUAUAUAUAUUAGUUAUGCACUAUAAAUGAUAUAUGAUAUACAUAAUAAUAUUACAUUUCAAUGUAUAAUAUAUUUAUUGUUUUCCUGUAAAUACAACUCAAAUCUGUGAAGUGUAACAUUUUAAAAAAUACUUUUUUUCUAUUCCUUUCAAGCCAUAAAGCAUUUAAUUUUUUUUUAACUAAUGCCAAACCAUUCUAAAAGCAAAGUACAAAAAAAAAAAAAAGUACCUAUUUUAAUAUGUGUGUGAAAUUAAGAUAUACUCACACAAUUAUUCCAAUAUAAUACUUUUCUUUUUUCUUUUUUUUUUUUAUAAAUGGACUUACGUACACUUGGAUUCUUUUUCUCAAACAUAACACAUAUACAUUUAUGUGAUAGAGAUAUAUGUAAAUCUUGUGUAUAUAAAGGCCGCAUAUUUGAACCAACGCUUAUUGCAUUAUUGCCCACCACUUGUUAAGUGAAAAAUAAUUCCAUUAUUUUUGGGCAUUUGUACUAAGAAACAUGUGCAAUAUUAAUGAAAUGUUCAAGCACUGUAUAUUUAUAUAGUAUAAGGAUUGAAUCAUAUAUUGUAACUUUACACAUUUUCCUUAUGAGCAAUUACUGUCAGAAUAAGGAUAACCUGGGGCGUGGCAACCUUCCUGCAAUGACUCCCAUAACUCUUAGUCAGCCAUAUAUUGUUCAGUAUUUAAAUUGGGCAGACUAGAUGGGCCGAAUGGUUCUUACCGUCUGUCACAUUCUAUGUUUCUAAAUUAGGUUUGGUAGUGAGCAGAUUUGUAACACUGUCUGCUUGUGUAUUUCAUAACCGUUUAUUAGUAGAUUAGCUACCAAUCAGAAUUAUCAGUAGGCCAGUUUAAGUGAAACAUAACUGUUAUAAAUUUAAUUCAGUGGUGUUUAAAUAAAAAAUUUAAAGGCAACUACCACUCAUAUUUUUUCCGUCUGAUUUACCUAUAAAAUCAGCUAAUAUUUACUAUUUUCAGUGUAAAUGAAUGUAGUAUAUAUGUUUUUAAUUUUAUUGCGUACACUCUGGUAUUGGAAAGUUAAAAUGUUGUUGUAUGUUGUUAGUGUACAAAAAAGAUUUUCAAAACAAUAUAUGAAAAGAAAAAUCCAUAAUAAAUGUACAAAAGCAUAUCAUGUUAUUUCACUAUUAUAUAUUGAGUUCUAAAUACCAACAUGUUCCGUGAUGAUGUAUCAUAUUUGAUUUAUACUGUUUACAGAAUAUUUUUCAUAAUUUUAGCAUUUUUGACCCCGUAAAUAAAUGUCCAAAGCAGGUUUCCUUUUCAGUUUGCUUGGACGUUCCUUAUAAGUCACAAGGAUGAGGAUGUGCAUAACAUGUGUGACCCAGUUUUGUGUGUUUUAUUCCACAACUGAGUUGUAAAAUUAAGACAAAAAUUGCUGAUUUGGAAAAAUUCUUUGACUUGGCCUUAAUCACAUCCUAGCUAUUUUAGCACUAAGUUUUUUUUUUAAUUUAGUUUAAUUCAGUGUUUAGUGAAUAAAAUCCCAUGUCUGUUGUAGGAGAAAUGCCUUAAAUACCUGAUGUAGGAUACUUUCAUGAGACAGGAGAGCUGGCUUUUAACACUUUCUCUGCAAUGUAUCUCAAAUCUCACUCAACAUAUUAGUAUUUCACUUUAGGAGUAAACCUGAGUAACUCAUUGGACUUUUGGAGGUCCUCCUUGGGUUUAAAAAUGUAAAAAAUCAUGUUUCCACAACUAUCCCAGAGUUCCCAGCUUGAAAUGCAAAUGAGCACAGACAGGCACCAUGUUUCAGACUUCAUACUGCAUUUCUGUGCACACUCUUUGCAAUGAACGCUGUUUUAGACAAAACAAACUUUUUUUUUAACCAAAGCAUGUGCUAUGAUCCAAAAGGACAAGUUACCAGAAAUCAGUCAUGGAUUAUAGUUUCGACCUUGUGAGUCUUAAUAGCAUGGCUCCAGUUCUGGUCUGAAAUUUGAUGUCUCUGUGAUCAUAUAGCUAAGGUACUAAAGUGACAGUCAUUUCUUUUUUUGUUGCACUGUGGGACAUUUUAUCGUUUUUGGUCUCACUACAAUCAUAUUUCAUAUACACACACAUUUACAUAUAUACAUACAUAGACAAGGUAAGUAGGACUUUUGGAAAAGCUUGCCUUCCACACAGUAAUUCCAAGAAAUCAAGUUCCUAAUUAUCCCCAAAUUCAUUGGUUGACAGGAAGUCUUUAUGUUUCAGGCUUCAUCCUGCAUGUCUGCAGACACUCUAAGCAAUGGAGCACUGUUUUAAACAGAGCAUGGGUUGUGAUCCUGAAGAACCAGUUGCUGGAAACCAACCAUACCGUUUUAACCUCCUUGGUUUCAUCAGCAUUGUGCUGGUCCUGACACUGUAGUCUUUCUUACAGUAUAUAGCUAGGUACUAAGUGACUUGCGGUGAGACCAAACAUGAUAGAACUCUUCACUAGGUGUGCAAAUUCACAAUUUACUGUUGUGCCCAAUCUGCAUAUCUCAAAGAGGAUCUUGGGAAAUGUCCAACUAUAGCACAUGUUUUUGAUGUUUCCGCAAAUUCUGUUUUAGACCUCACUCUGCUAUCUGAAAGGAUCAAUGAGCAGAAACUAAGCAUGGACCAUAAACAUUUGUUUUGAACAUUCAUAUCCCCAGUAUUGUGCUAAUUCUGGUCUUGGAGUUAAAGACUAUUAGUCAACAUAUAGCUAAGUACUAGAUAUGCUGUGGUGGGGCCAAACAUGAUAAAACUUCCACUGGUUUAUACAUAUGCACAUUCAGGGCCGACUUUACCCAAGGUCCUACUUGUGAAUGAAAUUGAUACACAACUGUAAAUUUUAAAUUGGUAUAAACCAGUGGUAGUUCCAGUACCAAGACAAGGGGGGAUUUGCUAAAAUUACUUCUACAAUGUGAAUUGUUUUGAUCAAAGAGUUAAAAAGCAGAAACAAAUCUAAUGAAUAUAUUAAACACGUCUGUAAUUUUUUUCCUCUCUUUCUGUGUUCUUUCUUUAGAAUCGCGGAGUAUACUGUCCAUCGGUGAAGAUUAGAAAGGUUGUUCUGGUGCCUCUGCUGGUAUUCAUGAGAUGACGGUGUACUGAAUAUUUAAGAUGCAUAUAUUGAUAUAAGAUGAUAUAUUACUGUGAAAAAAAAAGUAUCAACAUCAGAACAUGUUUGAAGUUUUAAAACGUUUAAAGUAUAUCAAAUAAAAGUUUACAAUUAAAAUUAGGUAAAUACAUUUAUUACUCCAAGUAUGGUAUUUAGGACAUAUGCGUGAUUGAGAUCUUAUAAAUUUAUGUGUUAAUAUUAUAAUAUGCACUUUAUUUCCCAUUCAGCCAUCUAUUCACAUUUUCCACUUUUUACUAUAUUGAUCUUAUUACUGAUAGCUAACUUUAGGAUAUAUGUUGUAAUGUUUACUGAACACGUGAUUUUCGAUUGUGAAUUGUUACCUUGACUAUAACCUCAUAUCCAAAAGAUCCCAUCCGUUUUUGAGUCAGCUGUCUAAUUGUUCACACUAUAUUUUAAGGGCUUAGGAUGUACUGUGCUUAAUGACUGUCAAAAAGUUGUCAGUCUGUAUGAUCCCAUAAUAAAGGGACGCUUGUGACUCUGGACCAUCCUUACCAUAUCACAACGCAUUAAUCUAGCUGGGGCAAAUUAAACUACUCAGUUCGAGACAGAUAAUCCAGUAUUCGGCAAAAGAUAAUACAGAUACGGGUAAUAAUGACUGCUGGAUUAUAUCUACCACCAUUCUUAGUCUAAAACCCAUGACUACAUUGCAAGGGUUAUUUUGCCAAAAUAAAAGAAUUACAUUUUCUUUAUACAGUUUUUGAUUUUCUGCAUGCCAAGUCUAGGUGUCAUUCCCAAAGAUCAGCAUAACAACCAAGUACUGCCAGAGUUAUAUGUGUCGUCUAUGCCUGUGCAGAUAUUGUGAAUUUUAGAGUGACUUUGUUUAUUUAUAUUUGUGAGACUUGAACUAGGACAGCGGACUCUCCCCAUCAUCUCACUCCAGGCACACUUCAGGCUGGAGUAAAUCUUAUUUGUAAAAAGGCAAUACUGGUCCCUAUUUAACAGAAGCACAUGUAUAUCCCUAAAAUUAUUCCCAGCACAUGAAAGUACUGAACCUAUUAUCUCAUAGACUCCAUUCUGCCCUCAUUUUCCUUUAUGAUUUUCUUUAUCACUGCAGCAAUAUGCCCAGCUUUCCAUUUACUGUUGUUAAAAGGUGAAUCUAUCCCCCCCCCUUCAUCCAAUCUCCAUAUCCCAUAAACCUCUGAAGAAGGUAUAUAGAGCGUCACCUUUGGUAAUAUUAUUCAACAUUAUUAUUCAACAUUAUGUGCAAGCUAUGCGAAUCUGCAGUAAAAAAUAUUUACUAAAUAGCUUCAUUCCUUUUUUCCCCCUUUCAAUAUACGUGGGUGACAGUAUGAACAUGAUCUGUACAAUGUUCUUGCAAACUCGCCAGCAAAUGUAUAGAUUAAUAAAAUUAAAUACCUGAUGAUUGCAUAUACCUAUUCUAAAAUGGCUGCCAAAAACAUGGAUUUGCGUGACUGCAAGCAACAAUGCACAGAGCAAGUUUAUUCACACCUCCACUUGUUCACAUUUCUGGAGGCCUUUAAAAAAAAACAAAAAACAUUCUGUUCCGGGGAUCUUGAUAUCUAAUAGUGGGUUCACUUACUUAAAUCAUUUAUACCUAUACAUUUGUGAAUGGUUUAUCUAGCCAAAUGUAUAGAUCGAAUUUACACCACCAUUAUAUAUGAUUCUGUCAUGUUUGUCUCAAGGGAGUCCUUUUUGUAAUUUAAGGGAGUACGUGCACAUAAAUAAGACAUUUUGAAAACACAAAACGGUUUAUCUGUUCUACUAAACAGUUGUAAAAUCUUUACAGUUUGGCUAUUUUGCAGUAAAUUGUCAAUUCCUGUUCAAU